CUCAAUCCUAGUAUUCAGAAGGAAUCUCUUGCUCGAGAUUUCUUCGCGUCGUUUCGUCAAACCUUCUUUUUCGAGACGUUACGAGAUGCGAUGAUUCGUCGCCAUUAAAACCUCUUUACUUCUUUGACCCACGAUCAUGACGAUUAAUCAUAAGGUCAGUCUUCCUCCCCUGAACAUCAUCCUCAUUCCUCCCAAUUUUUUCAUUAUAAUGUCUAGCUAAGUGAGCCUUUUCUAUCUUGAUUUGUUAUGUUGUCUUAUCCAAUAUAAGGAGGUUUUUUCCCUUUUGUUUGGCCAAAGCUUAUCUAAGUAAUGUGAAAGGUCGUCGGUGAAACAUAAAGAUCGUGGAGGUGAAUUUAUAUGAUGUGAACCAGAGAGGCUGAACUCAAGAAGACUUAUCGUCAGUGAUGGUUCCGGUUUUCACUGAGGCCAUCUCGGAUCAUAUAAGGUCGCCUCUUGAGAUAACCAGCCUCGAGAGAAACCUUGCUCUGUAUCGCGCUACAAAGCAAAGAAGAAAACUUGAAGAUGCGAUUAGCACAUCAGAUAUGAAUCACCCAAGGUUCAUGUAGAUAUCAACACAAGAGACAGGGGCAGAGGGAUAAUCAAUAAUGGAACAAAUAAGGUGUUAAAGAAAGAGAAAGAAAAAGCUAAGAAGAUCAAAAACAGUCUUACCAAACAUGGUCAUGGUCAUGGCCAUUACCACGUUCAUGAUGUGUAGGAAGAAGAAUAUGGCGAACAAGAAUCAAAUUGGCACGUGUAUACUCGCGGCGGUGUUACAGGUCAACCUGAGUCACUGAGUCAUCCCGGGGAAGCUAGUUUUCAGGCACCGCCUAAGAUCGUUCCACCAGGGACAAAAGAUUUUCCUUUGGUCUCUUCGGAUUAUACCAAACGUCUUGAACCUGAGCCAUUACGAGAUACCUUUUAUGGACACGAGAGGACAUAUACUUUGGAGAGGGACGUGAGAAGAGAUGCACCGUCUCAUCCUCCUAAACUGCACGACAUGUCGGAGAGAAAAUAGAGGAUCAAGGCUCAUCAGAUGGCAAUAAAACUUCUUCUCAUGCUCUCUGACUUUAAAGCCGUCGUUGUAGCUCCACCUUCGAAGUUUGCCUGCUGAGAUUUUGGGAGUCCAGAUCUCCUCUCCCUCUGUAGUAUGCGUUUUUUGGGCUUCUUCUUUCUCUCGCUUGAAAGUUUUAAAUUUUUGUGGUUGAGUUCAACAUUGAACUUGCUGAGACAAAGAGACAUGUGCUUUAAAUGAAGAUAUUACUUUUUUGACAGGUUCAAUAUUAAUGUCACAGGAUUUGAGGAUCUUGAACAGUUGAACCUACGCAAGUCGAAUCUGCGUUAGUAUCAGUUCACAAGCUAUUUAUGUAUAAGUUUAUUAAGUUACUACUUGAAUGACUUUUACAGUAUGAUAGCAGCAUUAAGAUCUAUAUUCGUGUUCUCUCUGGUGAGCCAAGUCUUACAAGGACAACCUCUCAAUGGAAUUACCACACCUGCUGGUUUUGAUGUCUUCCAAAUAAUAUUU